AUACGGAGGAUCCAAGCGGUAUCCGGAAUCAUUGGGUUUAAAGGGUCCGUAGGUGGAUAAUUAAGUCAGAGGUGAAAUCCUGCAGCUCAACUGUAGAAUUGCCUUUGAUACUGGUUAUCUUGAGUUAUUAUGAAGUAGUUAGAAUAUGUAGUGUAGCGGUGAAAUGCAUAGAUAUUACUUAGAAUACCGAUUGCGAAGGCAGAUUACUAAUAAUAUACUGACACUGAGGGACGAAAGCGUGGGGAGCGAACAGGAUUAGAAACCCUAGUAGUCC
rnacentral:rRNA from 1 species